rnacentral:misc_RNA from 1 species
GAUUCGGACGCGGCGAGCGAGGGUUUCAGCGGAAUCAGCGGUGCGAUGUCGGCGGCGGAAGGGUCGGAACACCGGUCGGAGGGUUCCGCCGCCGCCCUUGACAGCCCUAGCGUCGGCAGUGGCAGCGGCAACGGCCGGGAGGUCGAGUACUUCGGCUGGGUUUACCACCUCGGCGUCAAUUCGAUCGGCCGCGAAUUCUGCCACCUCCGUUUCCUCUUCCUCCGCGGCUACUAUGCUGCCAUGUACAAGCGUGAUCCCAACGAGAACCCGGGCACUCAAGCUAUCAGGAAGGGGGCAAUUA